AUGGCUGUCCUGGUGCUGCUCCUCUGUCUGGUGACCUUUCCAAGCUAUAAGUGUGCCCUGUCCCAGGUGCAGCUGAAAGAGUCAGGACCUGGUCUGGUGCAGCCCUCACAGACCCUGUCUCUCAUCUGCACUGUCUCUGGGUUCUCAUUUACCAGCAAUGGUGUCAGCUGGGUCCGCCAGCCUCUAGGAAAGGGUCUGGAGUGGAUGGGAGCAAUAUGGAGAGAUGGAAGUACAGGUUAUAAUUCAGCUCUCAAAUCCCGAGUCACCAUCAGCAGGGACACCUCCAAGAGCCAAGUUUACUUAAAACUGAACAAUCUGCAAACUGAGGACACAGCCAUGUAUUUCUGUGCCAGAGACACAGUGAGGGAACUCCAGUGUGAGCCUGCACAAAAACCUCCCUAUGGAGACAUCUGGUACCAAUAG